AACGAACGCUGGCGGCAGGCCUAACACAUGCAAGUCGAGCGAGAUCUUCGGGUCUAGCGGCGGACGGGUGAGUAACGCGUGGGAAUAUGCCUCUUGGUACGGAAUAGCCUCGGGAAACUGGGAGUAAUACCGUAUGUGCCCUUUGGGGGAAAGAUUUAUCGCCAAGAGAUUAGCCCGCGUUGGAUUAGGUAGUUGGUGGGGUAAUGGCCUACCAAGCCGACGAUCCAUAGCUGGUUUGAGAGGAUGAUCAGCCACACUGGGACUGAGACACGGCCCAGACUCCUACGGGAGGCAGCAGUGGGGAAUCUUAGACAAUGGGGGCAACCCUGAUCUAGCCAUGCCGCGUGAGUGAUGAAGGCCUUAGGGUUGUAAAGCUCUUUAAGCUGGGAAGAUAAUGACGGUACCAGCAGAAGAAGCCCCGGCUAACUCCGUG
rnacentral:rRNA from 1 species